rnacentral:piRNA from 1 species
UCCUACGCAUGAGGCAUCUGAUCGAGAC